GCCCGGGUGGCGCAACAGGCAGACGCAGCCGCCUUAAAAGCGGAUCAAGUGCGGGUUCGAAUCCCGUUCCGGGCU
rnacentral:tRNA from 1 species